CCCUUAGAUGUUCUGGGCUGCACGCGCGCUACACUGAUGCGAUCAACAAGUUUUUCCUAUGUCGAUAGACACGGAUAAUCUUUUGAACUCGCAUCGUGAUGGGGAUAGAUUAUUGUAAUUAUUAAUCUUCAACGAGGAAUUCCUAGUAGGUGCAAAUCAUCAGUUUGCAUCGAUUACGUCCCUGCCCUUUGUACACACCGCCCGUCGCUGCUACCGAUUGGUUGAUCUGGUGAAUUAUUCGGACUGCCGGCUGAAGGGGUUUCCUCAUCUGCCAGCGGAAAGUCUUGUUAACCCUAUCAACUAGAGGAAGCAGAAGUCGUAACA
rnacentral:rRNA from 1 species